rnacentral:rRNA from 1 species
UACGUAGGGGGCGAGCGUUAUCCAGAUUUACUGGGCGUAAAGCGCGUGUAGGCGGCUGGUUAGGUGUGAUGUGAAAUCCCCGGGCUCAACCCGGGAACUGCGUCCGAUACUGGGAGGCUUGAAUCCGGGAGAGGGAUGCGGAAUUCCAGGUGUAGCGGUGAAAUGCGUAGAUAUCUGGAGGAACACCGGUGGCGAAGGCGGCAUCCUGGACCGGCAUUGACGCUGAGGCGCGAAAGCCAGGGGAGCAAACGGG